UACGGAGGGUGCGAGCGUUGUCCGGAAUCACUGGGCGUAAAGGGCGCGUAGGCGGUCUGCUAAGCGUGCGGUGAAAGCCUGGGGCUCAACCCCAGGUCUGCCGUGCGAACUGGUGGACUGGAGCACUGUAGAGGCAGGUGGAAUUCCGGGUGUAGCGGUGGAAUGCGUAGAGAUCCGGAAGAACACCAGUGGCGAAGGCGGCCUGCUGGGCAGUAACUGACACUGAGGCGCGACAGCGUGGGGAGCAAACAGG
rnacentral:rRNA from 1 species